rnacentral:rRNA from 1 species
CGGCAGGCUUAAUACAUGCAAGUCGAGGGGCAGCGCGGGUAGCAAUAUCUGGCGGCGACCGGCGUACGGGUGCGUAACGCGUAUGUAAUCUACCUAUAACAGUGGGAUAGCCCCGAGAAAUCGGGAUUAAUACCGCAUGAAAUUAGUUUAAGGCAUCUUAGAUUAAUCAAAGCUGAGGCGGUUAUAGAUGAGCAUGCGUGACAUUAGCUAGUUGGUAGGGUAACGGCUUACCAAGGCGACGAUGUCUAGGGGUUCUGAGAGGAAGGUCCCCCACACUGGUACUGAGACACGGACCAGACUCCUACGGGAGGCAGCAGUAAGGAAUAUUGGGCAAUGGGCGCGAGCCUGACCCAGCCAUGCCGCGUGCAGGAAGACGGCCUUAUGGGUUGUAAACUGCUUUUGUCAGGGGAUAAACCUAUCUACGAGUAGAUAGCUGAAAGUACCUGAAGAAUAAGCAUCGGCUAACUCCGUGCCAGCAGCCGCGGUAAUACGGAGGAUGCGAGCGUUAUCCGGAUUCAUUGGGUUUAAAGGGUGCGCAGGCGGGGCAUUAAGUCAGUGGUGAAAUAAGACGGCUCAACUGUCUGGCUGCCAUUGAUACUGAUGUUCUAGAGUGUAAUUGGAGUGGGCGGAAUGUGUCAUGUAGCGGUGAAAUGCUUAGAUAURACACAGAACACCGAUCGCGAAGGCAGCUCACUAA